rnacentral:tRNA from 1 species
GCAAGUUUAGUGUUAAAGGUAGCACAACAGUCUCCAAAACUGUUUGUAGUGGUUCGAAUCCAUUAACUUGUGCCA